rnacentral:rRNA from 1 species
GACGAACGCUGGCGGCGUGCCUAAUACAUGCAAGUCGAGCGAAGUUUUUCUGGUGCUUGCACUAGAAAAACUUAGCGGCGAACGGGUGAGUAACACGUAAAGAACUUGCCUCAUAGACUGGGACAACUAUUGGAAACGAUAGCUAAUACCGGAUAACAGUAUUUCUCGCAUGAGAGAUAUUUAAAAGUUGGUUAUGCUAACACUAUGAGAUGGCUUUGCGGUGCAUUAGCUAGUUGGUGGGGUAAAGGCCCACCAAGGCGACGAUGCAUAGCCGACCUGAGAGGGUGAUCGGCCACACUGGGACUGAGACACGGCCCAGACUCCUACGGGAGGCAGCAGUAGGGAAUCUUCCGCAAUGGGCGAAAGCCUGACGGAGCAACGCCGCGUGAGUGAAGAAGGAUUUCGGUUCGUAAAGCUCUGUUGUUAGGGAAGAAUGGAUAUGUAGUAACUAUACAUGUAAGAGACGGUACCUAACCAGAAAGCCACGGCUAACUACGUG